CCGGGGGCGUCGCACUUUCCAGCUGUAAGAUCUCUCUGCUUCCCAGGUUGUCUCUGAAUAGACGCUGGUCAACUUCAGGUUGGAAAACGCAUGUUACACGUGAAACAAGUCCAGUAGAACUAUACCAGUCCUCUUCAGUUAACGAGCGAAAUGGACACUUGGGGACCUGCCGUUCCUAAAAUUCAGUGGUGAGGUCGGAGGCCAGCCUUGCAGACAGCGGUGUUAAAGAUGCAUUUCAAGGAGCUCACGAACUAUCGGGCUCCACCCAUGGGCUCAAAUCACCUCAAGAAGUGGAAGAAAACCACUCGUAGUGUGCACAGCGGGGCAAGGAGAGAGGGGAGGUGAUGAGAAAACAUCUAGCGUGUGAAUGAGAACCGUUUCAGGAAGAAUAAACUCAGCAAGCCUUGCGGUUAAUGUAUCUAUGGUGCCACUGCUAUUAACAGGUAAUCUACAACGUGCAUGAGCGUUUCUGCCUCCAGAAGCAUCUGCUUUCAAGCACCACACAGUGUGUACCAGCGGAGAGCAUCUGGAGGAGCGGGGCUUUAGUUCUUAGAAAAGGCUUCUCAGGACCUCACUACUCACGUGGCUCCAGAGACCAACAGCACCUCCCUGGGGAGCUAGUAGAAAUGCAGAUCCUUGGGCCCACCCCUGACCUGCUGGGUUGGAAGCUGGACUUAACAAGAUUCCCAGGUGUGCACAGGAAAGCCUGAGGGGCCCUGCUCUAGGGUGAACCUUGCUAACACGCAGCCUCUGAUGAUUUGAAGAGGAGUGGGAACAGCUGGCUUCCUGCCAGGCUGCUUGUUCAAGGAUAUUAUUCUCAAGCACCAGCGGGUCAGACUUUCAGGGAAAAGAAAUUAAUGGCAGGAAGAGUUUGGAAAUUCCGGCUUCUGCUAAUUUCAUAAAAGCAAAUCAUAGGACAGAAAGGCUCACGAUUGCUGGGAGCUCACUUUUUUCUUCAUCGUUAUUACUCAGUCUUCAAGGGUUACUGAUAUCUUUCUUCUUUUCUCUUUAAUUUUCCUGACCAGUGACAUGUCUCUCCGCUGGUUAUUGGACUCCAACUCACUCCCUUCCCAUCUUGGUUGCUCUCCAGUCAUCUUCCACCUCCGCCCCUGAUCACGGGCGUGCACAGCAGCCCAGGCUGCCUAGGGCCCACCCCCUUCGGUUUUCACCUUUUCCGUUAAUCUGCUGCUGCAUCUGCAUCGUCUCCUGUCACCCUCGCCCUACAGCUUGGCUGUGGAUAUGGAUGUCUUUUGCUUGACUCUUCGGAUCCCCUCUCCUCCCUUUGUCAUCCAGCUCUGGGAUGUAGGAGGCUGACACAGUGGGGACUUCGUCAAUGGCUCCCUUCCCUCCUGGCAGGGAGGCAAGUGUGGUCAGGAUAUUGAUGGCCUGGGCUCACCCUCUGCUGGGUCCCUCUCCAUGCCACUCCUCUGUCCCAGGUCUGGUUACAGCUCUCUGCUCUGGUCCUGUAGGCUGACUGCCACUGCUACCAGUCUGGGUCUUGCCAUCUCCGUGGCCUCCCCACCCACUGCCCACACCUCUGUACACCAUCCCUUGAUUAAACUCUCCUGAAAUUAUCCAGCUUGAGGGUGCCAUCUGUCUCCUCUUGGGCCCUGACCACUGACACACAGCUCUGCUACCCUGCACACCUCACAUUCUUGAAGGUCCUCAUGGCCUUGGCCUUCUAAGAAAUAAACGCAGUGGUGGUUUCUUUCACCUUCAUCCCCUUUCUGCUGCAUCUGAAGGACAGUUCUCCUUGGAUUACUGGCCCCCAAAACAACACAUUCAGAAUGUCUGAAAUAACUCACUUUGCUCCCCAAAUUUGCUCCCCCUAUCUGCUCUAGGGGCAUCACCACUUGCCCCACCCAGGCUUCCACCCUGCCAUCACCUCACCCCAUCCCUCUUUGUCAGAGAGUCUCAGAAUCAUCAAGUUGGGGGAGCCUGGGACCUCCUGGUCCACCCCAACGGGCACUGAAGCUUGGUGAGCAAUCUGCCCAAGCUUACCUGGCUGCUUUAGGAUGUGUCCUCAGAGGAAAAGGUCAGGCUCUUUCCAUCCCCUAUCCCCCUUUCCUGACAUGGGUGCUUCAGAGUGACAUGCACACCUGCCCUGUCCACACCCUCUGACCACAGCCAUCUCAAACACUUGGUUCUCCCCAAACAUCCUC
ensembl:lncRNA